rnacentral:misc_RNA from 1 species
ACACAAAGACGGAAUUUCAUGCUAACAGAAUUCGUUUAUACCAACAUAUAAAUACGCUUUAUAAAACUUUCACAUAGUCUUGAAAUCUGUUUUUCUACCUAGAGCAGACUGGGAUAAAAUUUUACAAACUUGGGAGAAAAUUUUACAUUUUAAAUGCAAAUGAGCCUUUUUAGGCUAUACGACUUAAUCAGUGAUCACUCUGUACUUGUCCGGUCUGUUUGUUCUGUCGCUCAUCGUUACGAUGGCAACUACAGUAAGACUUCUCCGGGCUGUUCGAAGAUUAGGUGCGUGUUAUCAGUCAGCCUCGCCCGCUGCAACUAGAGCAAUCAUCACUAAUCGCUAUUAUAAUCUAUCUCAUCUGAGAGAAUUGAAUACAAGUACAAUAAUGGCCUCCGGGUUUAUCGGGUCGAACUCUGGUCUUCUGUUCCGUCAGCUUUUUGAUGGGGAUAGCUGCACCUACACUUAUCUGCUGGCAGAUACUGCUACAAAAGAAGCCCUCUUGAUUGACCCUGUGAUUGAAUUGGCUCAGAGAGAUGCUACUCUCAUCAAGCAGCUGCAAUUGAAUCUCAAAUAUGUCGUCAACACUCACGUGCAUGCAGACCACAUCACCGGCUCAGGUAUGCUGAAGAAGCUUGUGCCAGGCUGCGUGUCUGUUCUAUCUGAGGCUUCUGGCGGAGAUGCUGAUCUUAAAGUCAAUCCUGGCGAUGUAAUCAAAGUGGGGGCUGUGCAGCUGGAAGUGCGUGCCACUCCCGGUCACACUGCAGGCUGCGUAACGUUUGUGGACCACGCCCACGGCAUGGCGUUCACAGGUGAUGCGCUGCUCAUUGGUGGCUGUGGCAGGACUGACUUCCAGGAAGGAAACCCCGAGACCCUCUACAAGGCUGUACACUCUCAGAUCCUGACCCUGCCUGACCAUUAUCUCCUCUACCCUGCCCAUGACUACCAAGGGCUCACUGUUACUUCUGUCAAGGAGGAGAAGGAGUACAACCCCCGGCUCACCAAAAGUCUCACUGAAUUCGUGGAGAUAAUGAACAACUUGGGGCUGCCAUACCCGGACAAAAUAGAUGUUUCCCUGCCUGCAAACAAAGUGUGUGGUCUCUACAAUCUGCCCGAUGAUCUUGCGGCCGAGCUGCAAAAAGCAUCAUAGACUUUACGCCAUGCCAUUCAAGCCAGGCAGAUUUUCUUCUAUCAGUUCUUUGCUUUCGGUUCUCUGACUUUCAUGCGCAGGCUAUAAAUCUUCACUUCAAGGUAAACAUGCAUUCUUCUCUCCCAGCCCACUUCGCAGUCUUGUCUAUGAACGUCAUGGUCGUUUAUGAGCGUAAUUAUGUUCUUAAAUAUGGAGAGAAUGAAUGCAAAAACAUCACAAUUUAGUAUAAAGUUGUCCAUUUGCUACCACAUGAAUAAUUAUUUUGAUGCACAUCUUUGAAUUGAAUGAGCUAGAGUAUAGCAUAUUAAAUUCUAUACGUUCAGGAUUCUAUGUAAUCGUUGGAAUAUUCCAUUCGAUGUGGAAAUUAUCCAUGUCAGAUAUUUAUUGAAUAUGGUUAAGAAAUGUUCUUCAUUUCAUGUCGUUCUAUUCCUGUAAAAAUUUUUUCAAGGAUAAAAAGAAGUCCGUAACAAUGCAUUGAACACCGCUUCAUAAAAUGUCAUUAUAAUAUCAGACCAUGCCCACUGAAUUACUCUCAUACUGAAUAUCUGAUUUCAAUUAUUAUCGCCAUGAUUGUAAAAAUGCUGAUUUCUAUGAUAAUAAAUUUCUAUUAUUAUAAUAAAUUAUAUUUCUAUUAUAAUAAAAAAUAAGGCUUAUUUUCUCGACGUGUUACCGAUGCUUAAUUGUAAACUUACUUGUACCCAGAAUCCUUGUAUUACAAUAAGCUGCACCAGACC